rnacentral:rRNA from 1 species
UACGUAGGGCGCAAGCGUUGUCCGGAAUUAUUGGGCGUAAAGAGCUCGUAGGUGGCGUGUCGCGUCUGCCGUGAAAGCCCAUGGCUUAACUGUGGGUCUGCGGUGGAUACGGGCAGGCUGGAGGCUGGUAGGGGCAAGCGGAAUUCCUGGUGUAGCGGUGAAAUGCGCAGAUAUCAGGAGGAACACCGGUGGCGAAGGCGGAUCUCUGGGCCGAGACUGACGCUGAGGAGCGAAAGCUAGGGGAGCAAACAGG